ACAUCCCCAAAACUAUUCACAAAUAUAAACAUUGUCGCCAAACAUCUCUCUCUGUGGCAAACACAAAACCAUGAAACGCCGAUUUGAAGGCGGACCAGGAGAAUCCGCGGAGGGGGAGAAUCCAAUUCCGGCCCAACCCACAAAGCUCCGAGAUGCAGAUAAGAAUAAAGAAAAAAUUUCUGUUAAAGACUCCGACGACCCAUCUCACAAAAGUAGAGGCUGCUCAAGACUCUCAGACUCAACUCCAGCUUGAGGAGAAGAAUACUCUUCCAUCUUUUCUCAAGGAGGACAAUAAUCCCACAUGCCUAGCCCGUCCUAAACUCAUAAUCAAGCCAGGCACAUUUUCCUCUAUGCCGUCUACUUGUCCAAUUUGCUCUGAGUAUGGACACUUUCCUGGUAUGUGCCCCUGGAGGAAACGGCUCCCAAAGGGCGUAACUCAGGUUGGCAAGGGCUAUGUAGUAAAGUGGGGGCGUGCUGUUUUUCUUGAGUGUGUUUAUUGUUAUGAGAUUGGUACCCACAUGCUUAAUGACUGCCCGCAUUUUAAAAAACUACUUGAGGAAAAUGGAGGGGAUGCGCCCUUGCACCUCUGUUUCCUCGGUCAUAGACCACUUGCUGAUUCCUGAAGCUGAGGAGGACUAUGAAAAUAGACUGCGUUUUCAAGUUUGUGCUCUUUUGGUUGGUGGAAGUAAACUUUUACAUACUUUCUCCAGGCAUGGCUACUCUUAUUCAUCCUCGAAUUAUACCUCUUGCUGAAUCUGGAACAAAGAUGGGGGACCGAAUAUAGCGGAAUCGUGAUGUCAAGAGACAGGAUAAAGGAUGGUGCGGUGCGGCUUAAAAAUCAGAACUUGGGGAAGAGACGAAUCGAUAUCUGUGAGUGUUGGGGUAGAAGAGAAAGAGUGUGUGUAUGGCUGAGAAAACCAAACAAUCGAAGUGAGAGCUGGCGACUCGAUUAGGAAGGUUUAUAAUUGCUUCGCUGAUGCUGUGUUUUAUGUAAAAUGGGGAAAAGAGAGGAGUGCUCAGAUAUCCUUGUUUUGCUUUUGGAUGCUUUGAUAAGUAGUGACAAACUGUUUUUUUUCAUAUGAAUCAAUAUUUAUUUUGUUUGUGCA